UAAUAAGUGUUUUAUGGCACUGUACAAAUCCAUAUCCACCUUGUGUGUAAUGUCAGUCGAUCUUUUUAAUAAAGAUUGGCCAUACAUCAAGCUAUUUUUUUAACUCUGUCUGAAAAAUGUUAUGAAUAAAAUAAUUCAAAAUA
rnacentral:misc_RNA from 1 species